GGUGGGACACGGAGGAGCCGAGAGCCGAGGCCCACGCCAUGGGGUGGAGGCCGAAUCCCUUCCCGCCCGCACCCCUCCGUGCGGCUGCGGCUCCCUCGCUGCUCCGGGCCGCUCCCCAGGCCGCCUCGGCCGAGGGUCGGGCCAUGGGCGCUGCCCCUGGGCAGGGGACCGGCUUGGUGGCAGCGCGCAGCCCUGGGGACAGCACUGCGGUGUGCCUGCGGCAGGGUCCCGGCGUGGAGCACUGGCUGGCCCACGUAUCGCAGUGGGAGUGGGAUGUAAUCCUCCUGUUAUCAUCGUUUAUUGCAUGCGGCCAGAUACUACUGCACGUUACCAUCGCUCCUGGGUGCUCCUUUCCUCAGCCCUGGCUGGCUUUGCGCCAUUUGAUGGCUUUGCUUCAUUCCUUAAUGUCUUCUUCGGCUGCUUUCCUGUUCCCUGGGGGUAGCCCCUAGUUCUAGACACGAGAGAAGUCAGAAGGAAGUUGUGAAAUAAACCUGAAGAAGUCCACUGAGCUUCAUAAAUAAGCAAGGGGAAAAAAAAAAUCCAUGGAGGAGAUUCAGUGGAGCCAUGGAAGUAAGGGAAGCCAAAAAUUACUCCUGCCACCUGCUCCUACUUGCGUUCCAGUUCGGUCUUCGCCAGCGAUGGUGGCUUCCUCAAGCCGGGGCCCCCAGCAGCAGCAGCAGGGUCAUCAAGAUUCUCAUCCUGCUUACAUGUUUACGUACAGGAGUUUAGCAUCACUGUGAACGAAAGGUGCCUUCUGGGGAAAGUUGUGACUUCAGUUUCUGUUUUUUCCCCCAGUUAACUCCACAGAUCCAGCAGCACUAUGAUUAUCCGUGGUUAUCCCCAAUUUUGUAUAUACCUACAUUUUUGUUGAAGGAUGCAGCAAAAGGGUCAUCCAAAGGAAUUAACAAAAUCAGAUAGUCCGCAUGUGAAAGGAUGCUUCUGUUUGAAACAGCAUCUCUGAAUCAGUCAUGCCUUUCCUUCCACCAAGGCAAUUUCACGUUUUCAAUAGAAGGCAGAGCUACAGUGAUUUCCCCCCCACACCCCCCACCCGCCCCCAGCAUCAAAUGGCUUUCUGCACAA